CGUAGACAGAGUAACUAAUAGACCCAAUGACGAUACCUUUCUCACUUACACAAGAAAGAGAGCGAAAAUACCAUAACAAAUGCAUAAGACAAAGACACAAAUACCCAAUUUUUUGUCCCUUAGUGUGUAACCUGUUUUUCAAGAUCCGCAACUUGAGUUGCGAAACAAACUUUGACAGUUCGUGCCUUCAUCGUGCUUGGUGUUCGAAUUUUGGAUAUUAUUUAGUAAAAAAUCGAUACGAGUACAUUGAAAAGACGGUAAAAUUAUCUUAAUAUAGACAUCGAAGUAAAUAGAAUGGUGCGUUGUCGUGUUAUUGCAUGUAUAAGCGAUAGUGAGAAGAAAAUUGCCGGUGUGUCUUUUCACGCAUGAUCCAGACCUACGUAAUUAAUGGAUCGAAGUGGUAGAAAAGAUUGGAUUCUCACAAAAUAUUGUAAAAUAUGAACAAGCCAAUGAAAAAGUAAGAAAUGUGUUUCGUCAUCAAUAAUCAAUCUGCUUAUAUUUUUUGUAUCUACUAAAUUGAUUAUAAAGACAAAAGAAAAAUCUCA